rnacentral:rRNA from 1 species
ACCAGACUCCUACGGGAGGCAGCAGUGGGGAAUAUUGGGCAAUGGGCGCAAGCCUGACCCAGCAACGCCGCGUGAAGGAAGAAGGCUUUCGGGUUGUAAACUUCUUUUAAGAGGGAAGAGUAGAAGACGGUACCUGACUAAGAAGCCCCGGCUAACUACGUGCCAGCAGCCGCGGUAAUACGUAGGGGGCAAGCGUUAUCCGGAUUUACUGGGUGUAAAGGGGGCGCAGACGGCAGCGCAAGCCAGGAGUGAAAGCCCGGGGCCCAACCCCGGGACUGCUCUUGGAACUGCGCGGCUGGAGUGCAGGAGGGGCAGGCGGAAUUCCUGGUGUAGCGGUGAAAUGCGUAGAUAUCAGGAGGAACACCGGUGGCGAAGGCGGCCUGCUGGACUGCGACUGACGUUGAGGCCCGAAAGCGUGGGGAGCAAACAGGAUUAGAUACCCCAGUA